rnacentral:rRNA from 1 species
UACGGAGGGUGCAAGCGUUGUCCGGAUUUAUUGGGCUUAAAGGGUGCGUAGGCGGCUCGUUAAGUCAGUGGUGAAAGCCUCCAGCUCAACUGGAGAACUGCCAUUGAUACUGACGGGCUUGAGUACAGACGAGGUUGGCGGAAUUGAUUGUGUAGCGGUGAAAUGCAUAGAUACAAUCAAGAACUCCGAUUGCGUAGGCAGCUAACUAGGCUGUAACUGACGCUGAGGCACGAAAGCGUGGGGAGCGAACAGG